rnacentral:rRNA from 1 species
UACGGGGGGGGCAAGCGUUGUUCGGAAUUACUGGGCGUAAAGGGCUCGUAGGCGGCCAACUAAGUCAGACGUGAAAUCCCUCGGCUUAACCGGGGAACUGCGUCUGAUACUGGAUGGCUUGAGAUUGGGAGAGGGAUGCGGAAUUCCAGGUGUAGCGGUGAAAUGCGUAGAUAUCUGGAGGAACACCGGUGGCGAAGGCGGCAUCCUGGACCAAUACUGACGCUGAGUGAGCGAAAGCCAGGGGAGCAAACGGG